rnacentral:rRNA from 1 species
AGUUUGAUCCUGGCUCAGGAUGAACGCUGGCGGCGUGCCUAACACAUGCAAGUCGAGCGAUCUUCUUCGGAAGAGAGCGGCGGACGGGUGAGUAACGCGUGGGUAGCCUGCCCUGUACACACGGAUAACAUACCGAAAGGUAUGCUAAUACGAGAUAAUAUGCUUUUGUCGCAUGGUAGAAGUAUCAAAGCUCCGGCGGUACAGGAUGGACCCGCGUCUGAUUAGCUAGUUGGUAAGGUAACGGCUUACCAAGGCGACGAUCAGUAGCCGACCUGAGAGGGUGAUCGGCCACAUUGGAACUGAGACACGGUCCAAACUCCUACGGGAGGCAGCAGUGGGGAAUAUUGCACAAUGGGCGAAAGCCUGAUGCAGCAACGCCGCGUGAGCGAUGAAGGCCUUCGGGUCGUAAAGCUCUGUCCUCAAGGAAGAUAAUGACGGUACUUGAGGAGGAAGCCCCGGCUAACUACGUGCCAGCAGCCGCGGUAAUACGUAGGGGGCUAGCGUUAUCCGGAAUUACUGGGCGUAAAGGGUGCGUAGGUGGUUUCUUAAGUCAGAGGUGAAAGGCUACGGCUCAACCGUAGUAAGCCUUUGAAACUGGGAAACUUGAGUGCAGGAGAGGAGAGUGGAAUUCCUAGUGUAGCGGUGAAAUGCGUAGAUAUUAGGAGGAACACCAGUUGCGAAGGCGGCUCUCUGGACUGUAACUGACACUGAGGCACGAAAGCGUGGGGAGCAAACAGGAUUAGAUACCCUGGUAGUCCACGCCGUAAACGAUGAGUACUAGCUGUCGGAGGUUACCCCCUUCGGUGGCGCAGCUAACGCAUUAAGUACUCCGCCUGGGAAGUACGCUCGCAAGAGUGAAACUCAAAGGAAUUGACGGAAGG